rnacentral:rRNA from 1 species
AUUGAACGCUGGCGGCAGGCCUAAUACAUGCAAGUCGAGCGAGUGGCGGACGGGUGAGUAAGGACUGGGAAACUGCCUGUUGGUGGGGGAUAACUACUGGAAACGGUAGCUAAUACCGCAUACCUUCAGCUGUGCGCAGACGGGAUUAGCUAGUAGGUGGGGUAACGGCUCACCUAGGCGACGAUCCCUAGCUGAGCGGAGAGGAUGACCAGCGACAGUGGAAAGGAGACACGGUCCAGACUCCUACGGGAGGCAGCAGUGGGGAAUCUUACGCAAUGGGCGCAAGCCUGAUGCAGCGAUGCCGCGUGAGUGAAGAAGGCCUUCGGGUUGUAAAGCACUGUCAUCGGUGAGGCGGUACCCGCAGAAGAAGCACCGGCUAACUCCGUGCCAGCAGCCGCGGUAAUUC